rnacentral:lncRNA from 1 species
CAUGAUUAUUUUUAUACAGAGACAUGGGGUGACAAAAAGUUUCCAACUCUCCUUCAGUCAGUUGUUAUCCCUAUUUUUUCAGAUGAGUAAACUGAGCCCCAGAGGAAGAGGUGUCCAAAGUCAUGCGACCAGUGAAUAAAGGACCGGAACUGGAGCCGCAUCCUCUCUCCCUCCUGGGUCAGGGUGUCGCACGGGCGACUGGACGGAGAGACUGGCCGCAGUUGUGUCGCUCAGAGGCUGGGGUAGCCGGAGGGAAGAGCGCGCCACCUCUCAGUGGUCACAAGCCCCAAGUUCAUGGAGGCAGCGCUCAGCUCGCCAGCAGACAAUGAGACUGCGUGUGCGCUUCCUAAAACAACAACAACAAAACUGGAGUACCUGCCAGACUGAGUGGUUGGAAGAGAUGGGGUUAACCCGGGAGAGCUUCGCGGAGGAGGUCUACCACUUUAUUGCUACCAACCAAUCUCCCUCCACCCUUGUGCACACAUGCUCAGCCCGCCAGGCUCCUCUGUCCAUGGACUUUUCCAGGCAAGAAUACUGGAGUGGGUUGCCAUUUCCUUCUCCAUGACUUGAUUUCUUUUCUGCAGUUUUGGGUUACUGAUUUACCCACUCUUGAUGCUCUUACUUCUUCCUCAGAUACUAAUUUUCCCUAAGGUGUGUCCUUAGGCUAUUCUUAGUCCCAGAGGAGAUGAGGCAGGCAGCCCUGGAGGUUCUCAAAAGAACAGGUCAGUGCCAGCUUCCAG